rnacentral:rRNA from 1 species
UACGGAGGGUGCAAGCGUUAUCCGGAUUUACUGGGUUUAAAGGGUGCGUAGGUGGGUAAGUAAGUCAGUGGUGAAAUCUUCGAGCUUAACUCGGAAACUGCCAUUGAUACUAUUUAUCUUGAAUACUUUGGAGGUAAGCGGAAUAUGUCAUGUAGCGGUGAAAUGCUUAGAUAUGACAUAGAACACCAAUUGCGAAGGCAGCUUACUACACAGUUAUUGACACUGAGGCACGAAAGCGUGGGGAUCAAGCAGG